AGCUCUCCGCCACAUCACCUCUGCUUGUGACAAAGCAAUAUUACGGUUCUGGUGAACCCGAUUUCACAAACCCUAAUCCCACAAUUGAAUCGUAGAUCGAUUCCCUUUCACUCGCUUCAUCUUCUCCGUUUUUCCUUUUCGCGAUCUUCAUCACCACUGACAAUCAAACUUUCUCUUUACUCUCAUCUUUAAUGUCUUUCGUUUCACCUCCCUCUCCAUCUAUUUCUUAUAAACCUUUUCACCAUUUCCUGGUUCCAAUCAAAAUCCAGAGAAUCCUCUCAGGAAGCCAAAUCCGCAUGAAAUUGAAUGGCAAAUCCCCACCGAUCAGACAUACCGGGUAAACCGGUGUCUCCUCCACCAACUCUGUCUCCGGCGAUUCAGACUCCUCUGAGAAACACAAAGUCAACCUUUUGAUUUCUAUGGAGCCAAGUUGAUAUUAUUGAUGGUGGCUAUCGCUGGAGAAAAUAUGGCCAAAAAGCGGUCAAGAACAACAUGUUCCCCAGAUGAUCUUUAUAAUCCCCAAAAAGCUUAAAGCGGGCAAUGGAGUGGACCUUGAAACAGCAAAUGGGCGACACAAUUUCAAAAAUAAGAAAUUUUCAGAUCCGGCUACCGUCACUAAAUGGAAAGAUGAAAGAAUGGUAAGAUUUUAUUGUUGACUUCAUUACUAUUGCCGAUUGUUUUUGUUCCCUCAGAAAGCUUUUUAUACUGAAGAAACACCGUUUCAAGUACUCCAUGGUCAUACUGGAGAUGUCUUGGACUUGGCAUGGUCAGACUCAAAUUUGCUUCUUUCAGCUGCUAAAGACAAGACAGUUCGGCUAUGGAGAGUUGGUUGUGAUGAGUGUCUUCAUAUCUUCUAUCAUAACAACUACAGAGGAGGAGGAAACUACAUGAUCAACAGAUCAAUGACGUUCACGGGAGUAUCAGACCACCACCAUCUAACUCAAAGAAGCCCGACCACGACGAAGACAAUCUAUCAGAUGAUGGGUCCCAUAUGAUGUUAGGAGGGACGAAGAAGAGGCUGAAUUUAUAGCAAGUUAGGGCAUUAGAGAAGAUCUUCGAGCUAGGGAACAAGUUGGAGCCUGAGAGGAAGAUGCAGCUAGGUAAGGCCUUAGGGUUGCAGCCUAGGCAGAUUGCGAAUUGGUUUCAGAACAGGAAAGCUAGGUUGAAGACAAAGCAGCUUGAAAGAGACUAUGAUACUCUGAAGAAACAGUUCGAUGUUUUGAAAUCGGAUAAUGAUUCUCUUCUAGCACACAAUAAGAAACUCCAUGAUGGGUUCCAUAGAUGUCAAAGCUCGAAUUUGGGGUUUAUCAGAACAGAGGGUCGUCGCUUGGACCGAUGCUCAUGACUCCAUUUCAGCAAGUUACCAACACAACGGAAAUAUGGGGCAGCAAGAAAUAUUUUUUUUGUUGGAUCCAUCGCUUUUCAGGAUGUAGCACACAAGGUCUCUGCCCUUAAAGUUUUUCUUAACAGGGGAGACAUGGCAAGACUUAAGGAGAUUCAAGAAGCUGUCUUACAAAUGAGCGCACCAAAGGCUCUGAGAAAUGAACUGAUUCACAAACUGAGAAGUGAAAGAAUGUCGUAUCAUGGAGAUGAAUCAAGCUGGAACCGAUCAUGGGUGGCAAUUAAGAAGCUCUGGGCUUCAAAGUGGAACGUGAGAGCUUACGUCAGUAGAAAACUAGAGUUGACCCAUGAUGCCGUCUGCAUGUCGGUGCUGGUUCAAGAAUCAUGUGGUGAUUAUGCUUUCGUCAUUCACACAAACAAUCCUGUCACUGGUGAUUCUUCAGAAAUACACACAAGAGAUUGUGAAGGGUUUGGGAGAGACCUUGGUUGGAGGAUAUCCAGGACGAGCAAUGAGCUUUAUCACCAAGAAAACAAACCUCAACUCGCCAACCGUGAGAAACAAAAAACAGAUAGUGUUUGCAUGUUAACUCCAGUAAGUAUUUGAGCUGUGCAGGUGAUCAGUAGUUACCCAAGUAAGAGGAUAGUUCUGUACUCUAAACCCUCUAUCAUGUUCUUAGCAGGAAUGUUGUCAAAGUCUGUACACAUUAAUACCAAAUAAUUAGUUUCCCCCUAAGUAAUAAACAACCUAUAAAAACCAUUGUUUUCCUU